UACAGAGGUCCCAAGCGUUGUUCGGAUUCACUGGGCGUAAAGGGUGCGUAGGCGGCUUUUUAAGUUUGGUGUGAAAUCUCCCGGCUCAACUGGGAGGGUGCGCCGAAUACUGAGAGGCUAGAGUGUGGGAGAGGAAAGUGGAAUUCCUGGUGUAGCGGUGAAAUGCGUAGAUAUCAGGAGGAACACCGGUGGUGUAAACGGCUUUCUGGACCAUAACUGACGCUGAGGCACGAAAGCGUGGGUAGCAAACAGG
rnacentral:rRNA from 1 species